AAAUACUUUGCCAUAACGGCAUGUACCAAUGCUUUCAAAACAAACACUAUCCUAAUCGCUGUCUGUCGGAAGGGCAAGUGGAGCUCAUUUAGAAAUGGGUACAAACUGCUAGCCCACAUUUACUGUGCAUCCAGCAGACGUUUAGAAAAGUUGGUUGGUGGACAUUGCUAGCAUUUAUCAGUGUUGCUUUCUCUUUUCCUUUGGAGCGCAACAUAGUUCUGUAUUUCCCCUGUUGCUGGGGUAGAGACUGGUCAAUAAAAUGUGAAAAGUGCGUCAGUUAGUGGCUGUGGCUGUGGUGGAAAACCCAUGGAGGAUUCUCCAGUUUCUCUCCCGUGUUGCAAUGAUCUUGGAAACACACUUGUGAUGAAGUGGUUUGGGCGAACAAUGUGGAGCUCCCUGGAUUGCUGAGUCCUCGUAUAAAGCUGCCCUGGAGAGUGAUCCAGGACCCCGCGGCAGCCCCAGGGGAGGGAGAAAUACACCUUCACUGCGUGAUGGCCAUGAGAAUUUGCGCUUGUUGUUACCACAUUCUGAUUAACGGAGAAGAUAUGCGUGGGCAAGGAUGGAGGAGAGGACAUGAGAUGCACCUAACCGCCUCAGAAAGUUCCACUCAUGCUGUCCCAGGUUAUGAUGACAAAGUUGUGUCUUUCUCCAGUGUUCUUUGCAAGGAGAUUGAGAACAAGAUGUUUCUUUGCCUUCUUCCUACAAAGUGAUAUCUUUCCACAGGCUACUGAUCACUUGCCAAUAUAUUUUUGCCAUAGUUAAAUCAAUUCCUCCCUAACAUUUCCUUAUUAUGCAUUAAUUUUCUUAAUUUUCUAUUGUGUUAUAAUUUUGAAUCUGUGUUGUUUUUUGGCAGAGGAUUGGAACUUUGUCAAUAAAAACACAGGGAAGUUAGAUUAAGAACAGUCGAAUAACUACCACCAUAAACUUAAAGUCUUAACAUAAGUGGUUAAACAGAGGCCACAAAUAUCUACUCGUAAUCUUCUCCUAUACAUCUCCUAUACAUCUCCUAUGUAAAUGGAUGGACAUAUACAUAUUUAGAUAUAUUUAAAUACAUAUAUACAUAUAUUUAUAUAUCUUUAUAGGUAUGAUAUCAAUGCUCUCUAAGUAAACACUGAGGCUACAUUAACAUUUUUAGGACAUGUUACUCAAUUGCUUUCACAUUACCUUUUCAGCAGAAAACGAAAUGUCUCCUACUAUGUAUCAGGGGCAUUACCUUAAAUAUUUUACAUCUCAAUACAGACUGUGGGUUUUAAUUCUUUUACAACUACAUACAUUAUUUUAGUCUGUGACUUUUUGACUUUUCCUUUUUUUUACUAUAGAGUGUUAAGAGAUACAGGCUUCAUUAUAAAUGUUUUGGAAUAUAGAUAACUUGUUUCUAUAACUACCAUGUGAAUCUUGAUUUUGAGAAGCCUUCUUUCAAAUGCAUGCAUUUACACAUACUGGAGGCUGGAAUUUGGUAAAAGACUAGGAAUAAAUCAAAAGUAGGAAUAAAUUGGGAUAACUUAUAAGGACUACUGGAAAAUGGCUUUUAAAGAGAAAAAUAGGAUUAUUUCACGCAUGCCUCGCUAUAAUGCUUCUCAUUGUGCCAUUCAAGGAUUUAAUAAAUGAGGACUGAUGAGCAUCUUGUGUGACAGGAUGCUUUGGGGAGGAAAUGGAGAAUUGGGUUAAAAAAUAAGGGAAAAAAACCCAAUUUCUGAUGUUCCUGCAUGCCAGAAUGCUUUUAAUUUAAUUAUGCUACUAUGAUUUGGCCUUUGAGAUCUAAUUAUGGGAAUACACAAAGUUGUUGCCCAGUUUGGGCAUGAUUCUCUGUAUUGAUGUCCUUUGUUUGGGUCGAUGACACUAAUCAGUCAGCAGCCAGGCUUUGCCUGGGUCCCUCAUCCAACAUACCAUUGUAGAGAUUAUCCUAGAUGGACCUUGGACUUCCUUACUCCUGGGACAAUUGAGAUGGUCCCUCAGCAGCAGAUUGAAUCACUUUGUAUUUGUUCAUAUUUGACCUCACACCACAAAUCUACACAUCCAAGCAAUAGCCAGAAUAAUCAGUUGAAAUUGAACUAAAAAUUACCUUAAUAGCUGUUUGUCAAUAUGACAUACACGAUUUGUUUGAUCACCUUUUACUAACUUUAGUGAAUAUGAGCAGCAUAUUCAUCUGGCUAAAAUGUGCUAAAAGUGGAACAUUAUAACCUGUAACCAUGUACCAUGAUUUAACUGAUAAAACUAAAUGCUAAUCAUUUUUCCACUGAGCAUUAGGUACUUCCACGACCAUUCUCCACAAGACACUUGAGAACAACUGUAUAGCUAUCGCUGUUAAAGAGUUUCCUGAAGGGGCGCCUGGAUGGCUCAGUCUGUUAAGCAUCCAACUUCAGCUCAGGUCAUAAUUUCAGUUCAUGAGUUCAAGCCCCACGUUGACAGCUCAGAGCCUGGAGCCUGCUUCAGGUUCUGUGUCUCCCUCUCUCUCUCUCUGCCACUCUUCCACUUGUGCUCUCUCUCUCUCUCUCUCAUAUAAGCAAACUUAAAAACAAAUAAACAAAGAUUCUCAAAAACAAAUAAUCUCCAGUAAGCAAUUGUUCCAUAUCCACAGGCAAUUUCAUAUUGACACAAUAAGGAAAAAUGAAAUGAUUGAUGUCCAUAUGAAGGGUCAAAUUCAGUGGUAGCACUUGUUGAAUUUCAUGCAAAAAUGGUAGCAUUUUUAAAAAGCUGUUAUAUUACCCAGUGGGGUGUGUGUGUGUGUGUGUGUGUGUGUGUGUGUCUCUACCCUCCAAAGUUUUCAGAAUUCUGGUCUCCAUUUUGAAAUGUAUAAUUUUCUUAAACAGUUGAGAUGCUGGAAUUUUUGCUAAUUUAUAGUCAUACCUACUCUGGUGAAGCAUAUAAUCUUUUAUGUGAAAAUCUUAGCUACAGACCAAUUAGUCUAAAGCAUAUGAGAAGCAAUUUCACGAUCAAAAUGCCAUCAAGGAUUUCUUUAUCUCUGUCCUUUUUUUACAGGACUUCUAAAGUCUCACACACACACACACACACACACACACACAGAGCAUUAUUUAAAGAUGUGUAUAUCAUUUUAAAUAGGUUAAAUAAUCUAGGUCUUUCAUAUAUACUUACAUAUAAGCAACACUCAUUCUCCAAAAAAUAUGUUACAAAAAUAGUGAUAAAAUUAUAGCUUUAUGAAAUUGCGUUUUAUUGGAACUUUGUGCAAAAUAUACCUAAGAUAAAUUUCUACAUGGCCAAGAUCAUUGAUCAUUAAAAAGUCAGAAAAUAUAGAGAAAAUAAUGAGGGUGAAAAUAUAGUGACAAAUGCAAGAAAUAGAACUAAUAACGUGUUUUCGUUAAAAUAGCUAUACUAAUCUAUUGCAACAAAAUUAUCUCAAUUGGGUAAGAAACUUUUGUUUGUUUUUCAUUUUUUUUAGGCACUUGCAGUUAUAUUUGUCCUGAAUUAUGCAAUUAAUUAGUUAUAUAUAUGUUAUAUAACUAUGUAUCUAUAUCUAUAUCUAUAUAUGUAUAGAUAUGUAUCUAUGUAUCUAUAUCUAUAUCUAUGUAUCUAUGUAUCUAUAUCUAUAUCUAUAUCUAUAUCUAUAUCUAUAUCUAUAUCUAUAUAACAUGCUGAGAAAUGUAAAAAAAAGUUGGAUUGGAGGAUGGCAUUUAAUCCAACCUAAAAUUUUUUCAAAGGAAAAAAUGGUUAGCUUUAUGUUAAUAUUUCCAUAAAUUGGUAAUGGUUGAUUUUUCACAAAUAGGCGCCUAAUUGACAUUUAAUCAAGCAUACACAAGUGUAUGUUAAAUAUAAAUUAAUUACAGUAUGUUAAAAAUACCGUAAUUUUAUGGUGUGUAAACAUGUAAGUACAUUUUAGUUACCAUUUAAUUACUGAUUUCACAGACUAUAAAUGUAUAAUUACCUAACUAACAAUUCACUACCUUUCUAAGGAAAGCAUUUUUCAGGUUAAAUAUGAUGCUCGGUUAAUUAGAUGUUAUUUUUACAAUAAUACUAAAAAGUUAUAAGUGAUUUGGCCUAUCUAGUUCACUUCUGAACUAACUCCUCCUCACAAUAAUGUAGGUAGAAACUGUAAUGUGCAUAAAGACUACUUAUAAAUGCAUAGUUAUAUAAUUGUGAUUUGAUUAUCCAGUCCAAUGCAACACCAUGUUUGUGUAGAAUACCAAUAAGUGUGUCCUGGGGUUUUAAAAUAAAAAUAUUAUCUGUUUAUAAAAUCAAGUUAAACAAAUAAAAAUGAUUAGGCAGCAUAUGAAAAAUACUUUUGAACGUAAAUUUCCAUUAACGUAUGGCAACAUAAUUCAUCAUAUCACAUUUUGCAUGAUUACUUUUUCCUUGAUUUUGCCCUUUUUUUGUUUAGUGUCUUUCUGCAUACUGAUUUUCCUGUAUCGGUUACCUUUUCUUUUAGGCGUUUAAAUAAACAACCUUGAAUUCCGUGUGGAAGGAAAUAAAUUAUUGUUGCAAACUGA